GGAUGGGUGUCCGAGUGGCUAAAGGAGACGGACUGUAAAUCCGUUGGCGAAUGCCUACGUAGGUUCGAAUCCUACCCCAUCCACCA
rnacentral:tRNA from 1 species